AGGGGGACGAACAGUUGGAAACGACUGCUAAUACCGCAUGACGCAUGACCGGGGCAUCCCGGGCAUGUCAAAGAUUUUAUCGCUGGAAGAUGGCCUCGCGUCUGAUUAGCUAGAUGGUGGGGUAACGGCCCACCAUGGCGACGAUCAGUAGCCGGACUGAGUGGUUGACCGGCCACAUUGGGACUGAGAUACGGCCCAGACUCCUACGGGAGGCAGCAUG
rnacentral:rRNA from 1 species